UAGGGAAUAUUCCACAAUGAGCGAAAGCUUGAUGGAGCGACACAGCGUGCACGAUGAAGGCCCUCGGGUUGUAAAGUGCUGUUGCAAGGGAAGAACAGUUAGUUGAGGAAAUGCUUCUAAUCUGACGGUACCUUGUUAGAAAGCGAUGGCUAACUAUGUGCCAGCAGCCGCGGUAAUACAUAGGUCGCAAGCGUUAUCCGGAAUUAUUGGGCGUAAAGCGUUCGUAGGCUGUUUAUUAAGUCUGGAGUCAAAUCCCAGGGCUCAACCCUGGCUCGCUUUGGAUACUGGUAAACUAGAGUUAGAUAGAGGUAAGCGGAAUUCCAUGUGGAGCGGUGAAAUGCGUAGAUAUAUGGAAGAACACCAAAGGCGAAGGCAGCUUACUGGGUCUAUACUGACGCUGAGGGACGAAAGCGUGGGGAGCAAACAGGAUUAGAUACCCUGGUAGUCCACGCUGUAAACGAUGAUCAUUAGUCGGUGGAAAACUACUGACGCAGCUAACGCAUUAAAUGAUCCGCCUGAGUAGUAUGCUCGCAAGAGUG
rnacentral:rRNA from 1 species